rnacentral:rRNA from 1 species
CCUACGGGAGGCAGCAGUGAGGAAUAUUGGUCAAUGGAGGCAACUCUGAUCCAGCCAUGCCGCGUGCAGGAUGACGGCCCUAUGGGUUGUAAACUGCUUUUAUAUGGGAAGAAACUGAUCUACGUGUAGAUAACUGACGGUACCAUACGAAUAAGGAUCGGCUAACUCCGUGCCAGCAGCCGCGGUAAU